AGUGAACGCUGGCGGUAGGCCUAACACAUGCAAGUCGAACGGCAGCACAGUAAGAGCUUGCUCUUACGGGUGGCGAGUGGCGGACGGGUGAGGAAUACAUCGGAAUCUACUUUUUCGUGGGGGAUAACGUAGGGAAACUUACGCUAAUACCGCAUACGACCUACGGGUGAAAGCAGGGGAUCUUCGGACCUUGCGCGAUUGAAUGAGCCGCUGUGGGAUUAGCUAGUUGGCGGGGUAAAGGCCCACCAAGGCGACGAUCCGUAGCUGGUCUGAGAGGAUGGUCGGCCACAGUGGAAGGGGGACAGGGUCCAGAGUCCUACGGGAGGCAGCAGUGGGGAAUAUUGGACAAUGGGCGCAAGCCUGAUCCAGCCAUACCGCGUGGGUGAAGAAGGCCUUCGGGUUGUAAAGCCCUUUUGUUGGGAAAGAAAAGCAGCAGGUUAAUACCCCGCUGUUCUGACGGUACCCAAAGAAUAAGCACCGGCUAACUUCGUG
rnacentral:rRNA from 1 species